CAGUAGCCGCGGUAAUACGUAGGGUGCGAGCGUUAAUCGGAACUACUGGGCGUAAAGCGUGCGCAGGCGGUUGUGUAAGACAGGCGUGAAAUCCCCGGGCUUAACCUGGGAACUGCGCUUGUGACUGCACAGCUAGAGUAUGGCAGAGGGGGGUGGAAUUCCACGUGUAGCAGUGAAAUGCGUAGAGAUGUGGAGGGACACCGAUGGCGAAGGCAGCCCCCUGGGCCAAUACUGACGCUCAUGCACGAAAGCGUGGGGAGCAAACAGGAUUAGAUACCCCAGUAGUCCCUGUCUCUUAUAC
rnacentral:rRNA from 1 species